GAUGAACGCUGGCGGCGUGCCUAAUACAUGCAAGUCGAGCGAAUGGAUUAAGAGCUUGCUCUUAUGAAGUUAGCGGCGGACGGGUGAGUAACACGUGGGUAACCUGCCCAUAAGACUGGGAUAACUCCGGGAAACCGGGGCUAAUACCGGAUAACAUUUUGAACCGCAUGGUUCGAAAUUGAAAGGCGGCUUCGGCUGUCACUUAUGGAUGGACCCGCGUCGCGUUAGCUAGUUGGUGAGGUAACGGCUGACCAAGGCAACGAUGCGUAGCCGACCUGAGAGGGUGAUCGGCCACACUGGGACUGAGACACGGCCCAGACUCCAACGGGAGGCAGCAGUAGGGAAUCUUCCGCAAUGGGCGAAAGUCUGACGGAGCAACGCCGCGUGAGUGAUGAAGGCUUUCGGGUCGUAAAACUCUGUUGUUAGGGAAGAACAAGUGCUAGUUGAAUAAGCUGGCACCUUGACGGUACCUAACCAGAAAGCCACGGCUAACUACGUGCCAGCCGCCGCAGUAA
rnacentral:rRNA from 1 species